rnacentral:tRNA from 1 species
UUAUUUUAAGUUAAAUUAAACUUUAAAUCUUCAAAAUUUAAUUUAAAAUAAAAUAAAAUAAAAU